AUACGUAGGGGGCGAGCGUUGUCCGGAAUGAUUGGGCGUAAAGGGCGCGUAGGCGGCCCGGUAAGUCUGGAGUGAAAGUCCUGUUUUUAAGAUGGGAAUUGCUUUGGAUACUGUCGGGCUUGAGUGCAGGAGAGGUAAGUGGAAUUCCCAGUGUAGCGGGGAAAUGCGUAGAGAUUGGGAGGAACACCAGUGGCGAAGGCGACUUACUGGACUGUAACUGACGCUGAGGCGCGAAAGUGUGGGGAGCAAACAGGAUUAGAUACCCUGGUAGUCCACACUGUAAACGAUGAAUGCUAGGUGUAGGGGGUAUCGACCCCUUCUGUGCCGCAGUCAACACAAUAAGCAUUCCGCCUGGGGAGUACGGCCGCAAGGUUGAAACUCAAAUGAAUUGACGGG
rnacentral:rRNA from 1 species